rnacentral:lncRNA from 1 species
AAGAAUCUAUGUUUGCAGCUUAACUUUUUUAUGUCCAACAAAUCUCUAUGAUUGUAUUGCUCUUUCUUAACGCAUUUCUUUCUUCUUCCAUUUAGCAUAUGAAAGAAUGUAGUUGAUACAUUGGCAUUCCAAAAUAAUUAUAAGGAGAGAUGAUUUUCUCACACACACACUAUCAAGGUGUCACGGAGGUUCGAACUUGAGACUACUAAUCUGUAAAUCAAGACUUUUUUUUAUUGGGCUACACCAUAU